rnacentral:rRNA from 1 species
AGAGCGAACGCUGGCGGCAGGCCUAACACAUGCAAGUCGAGCGCCCGUAGCAAUACGGGAGCGGCAGACGGGAUAGUAACACGUGGGAACGCGCCCUUCGGUUCGGAAUAACUCAGGGAAACUUGAGCUAAUACCGGAUACGCCCUUACGGGGAAAGAUUUAUUGCCGAAGGAACGGCCCGCGUCCGAUUAGCUAGUUGGUGAGGUAAUGGCUCACCAAGGCGACGAUCGGUAGCUGGUCUGAGAGGAUGACCAGCAUCACUGGGACUGAGACACGGCCCAGACUCCUACGGGAGGCAGCAGUGGGGAAUAUUGGACAAUGGGCGGCAAGCCUGAUCCAGCCAUGCCGCGUGGAUGAUGAAGGCCUUAGGGUUGUAAAGUCCUUUUAACGGGGAAGAUAAUGACGGUACCCGUAGAAUAAGCCCGGCUAACUUCGUGCCAGCAGCCGC